rnacentral:rRNA from 1 species
GACGAACGCUGGCGGCGUGCCUAAUACAUGCAAGUCGAGCGAAUCAAUAGGAGCUUGCUCCUGUUGGUUAGCGGCGGACGGGUGAGUAACACGUGGGCAACCUGCCUGUAAGACUGGGAUAACAUCGGGAAACCGAUGCUAAUACCGGAUAAUUCAUUCCCUCUCAUGAGGGAAUGUUGAAAGUCGGUUUCGGCUGACACUUACAGAUGGGCCCGCGGCGCAUUAGCUAGUUGGUGAGGUAACGGCUCACCAAGGCGACGAUGCGUAGCCGACCUGAGAGGGUGAUCGGCCACACGGGGACUGAGACACGGCCCAGACUCCUACGGGAGGCAGCAGUAGGGGAUCUUCCACAAUGGACGAAAGUCUGAUGGAGCAACGCCGCGUGAGCGAUGAAGGCCUUCGGGUCGUAAAGCUCUGUUGUUAGGGAAGAACAUGUACCGGAGUAACUGCCGGUACCUUGACGGUACCUAACCAGAAAGCCACGGCUAACCACGUGCCAGCAGCCGCAGUAA